rnacentral:tRNA from 1 species
UAAUCACAAUGUCAAAGGUUCAAAUCCUUUUUGAAGAG